rnacentral:rRNA from 1 species
UAUACCGUGAAACUGCGAAUGGCUCAUUAAAUCAGUUAUCGUUUAUUUGAUAGUACCUUACUACUUGGAUAACCGUGGUAAUUCUAGAGCUAAUACAUGCUGAAAACCCCGACUUCGGGAGGGGUGUAUUUAUUAGAUAAAAAACCAACGCCCUUCGGGGCUUCUUGGUGAUUCAUGAUAACUUCACGGAUCGCAUGGCCUUGCGCCGGCGACGGUUCAUUCAAAUUUCUGCCCUAUCAACUUUCGAUGGUAAGGUAUUGGCUUACCAUGGUUUCAACGGGUAACGGGGAAUUAGGGUUCGAUUCCGGAGAGGGAGCCUGAGAAACGGCUACCACAUCCAAGGAAGGCAGCAGGCGCGCAAAUUACCCAAUCCCGACACGGGGAGGUAGUGACAAUAAAUACUGAUACAGGGCUCUUUUGGGUCUUGUAAUUGGAAUGAGUACAAUUUAAACCUCUUAACGAGGAACAAUUGGAGGGCAAGUCUGGUGCCAGCAGCCGCGGUAAUUCCAGCUCCAAUAGCGUAUAUUAAAGUUGUUGCAGUUAAAAAGCUCGUAGUUGAAACUUGGGCCUGGCUGGCAGGUCCGCCUCACCGCGUGUACUUGUCCGGCCGGGCCUUUCCUUCUGGAGAACCUCAUGCCCUUCACUGGGUGUGUUGGGGAACCAGGACUUUUACUUUGAAAAAAUUAGAGUGUUCAAAGCAGGCCUUUGCUCGAAUACGUUAGCAUGGAAUAAUAGAAUAGGACGUGCGGUCCUAUUUUGUUGGUUUCUAGGACCGCCGUAAUGAUUAAUAGGGACAGUCGGGGGCAUCAGUAUUCAAUUGUCAGAGGUGAAAUUCUUGGAUUUAUUGAAGACUAACUACUGCGAAAGCAUUUGCCAAGGAUGUUUUCAUUAAUCAGUGAACGAAAGUUAGGGGAUCGAAGACGAUCAGAUACCGUCGUAGUCUUAACCGUAAACUAUGCCGACUAGGGAUCGGGCGAUGUUCUUUUUCUGACUCGCUCGGCACCUUACGAGAAAUCAAAGUUUUUGGGUUCUGG